GAGGCACGAAAGCGUGGGGAGCAAACAGGAUUAGAUACCCUGGUAGUCCACGCUGUAAACGAUGAGUACUAGGUGUCGGGGGUUACCCCCUUCGGGGCCGCAGCUAACGCAUUAAGUACUCCGCCUGGGAAGUACGCUCGCAAGAGGGAAACUCAAAGGAAUUGACGGGGACCCGCACAAGUAGCGGAGCAUGUGGUUUAAUUCGAAGCAACGCGAAGAACCUUACCUAAGCUUGACAUCCCAAUGACAUCUCCUUAAUCGGAGAGUUCCCUUCGGGGAC
rnacentral:rRNA from 1 species